rnacentral:rRNA from 1 species
CCUACGGGGGGCAGCAGUGGGGAAUAUUGCACAAUGGGGGAAACCCUGAUGCAGCGACGCCGCGUGAGCGAUGAAGUAUUUCGGUAUGUAAAGCUCUAUCAGCAGGGAAGAAAAUGACGGUACCUGACUAAGAAGCCCCGGCUAACUACGUGCCAGCAGCCGCGGUGAUACGUAGGGGGCAAGCUCUAUCCGGAUUUACUGGGUGAAAAGGGAGCGUAGACGGCGGUGCAAGCCAGAUGUGAAAGCCCGGGGUUCAACCCCGGGACUGCAUUUGGAACUGUGCUGCUAGAGUGUCGUAGAGGCAGGCGGAAUUCCUAGUGUAGCGGUGAAAUGCGUAGAUAUUAGGAGGAACACCAGUGGCGAAGGCGGCCUGCUGGACGAUGACUGACGUUGAGGCUCGAAAGCGUGGGGAGCAAACAGGAUUAGAUACCCGAGUAGUC